UUAAAUUGAAGAGUUUGCUCAUGGCUCAGAUUGAACGCUGGCGGCAGGCCUAACACAUGCAAGUCGAACGGUAACAGGAAGAAGCUUGCUUCUUUGCUGACGAGUGGCGGACGGGUGAGUAAUGUCUGGGAAACUACCUGAUGGAGGGGGAUAACUACUGGAAACGGUAGCUAAUACCGCAUAACGUCGCAAGACCAAAGAGGGGGACCUUCGGGCCUCUUGCCAUCGGAUGUGCCCAGAUGGGAUUAGCUAGUAG
rnacentral:rRNA from 1 species